UAACUACCCACUUUUAGACUUGGCGGUCUACAUGGCAGAUGAUAUAGAGAUUAUUUUUCUUUGACAAACGGUUAGCGAAUGAGGGUGUCAUGUGGCUGACAAACGAUCAACAGCCUUAAUUUAUCCCAGCUAAUGUCAGAAUAGAAGAUGAAUACAUCCUAGAAACCUUCGCCAGAACAACUUGUGUAAAGCAAAGGGCAGGGUUUGAACCCGGUACCAAUGAGACAAUAGCCCAGCGCUCUUACCACGUCACCAGACAGCCAUAAAUAAAAAAGAGAGACCUGACAACCCAGCAAGUCCGACACUUCGUUUUUCAAAUUAAGGACACAGAAUAGAGCAUUAAAUUGAAAAAAUAGGAACAGAUGUGGCACAGUGUCUCAGAUUAAAAUUAACAACCAGGAACAGAUGAUCUGUCAUCUCAGUUAGGGGGG